UGGGUUGUGGCUCAGUGGUAAAGCAUGUGCCUUGCAUGUAUGAGGCACUGGGUUCAAUCCUUGGCACCACAU
rnacentral:tRNA from 1 species